GGAGAAGCAGGAGCAGGAGGUUCGGGAGGAUCCGGACUUAAACAUUCUUAGUACUGAAAGUGGAAAGGACAAUUUGAAAACACCGAUUUCCCCUAAGGCUUCGCCCCCCGUGCAUGGCGGCAAGUGCAAACAAUGCGGCAAAAUGGUUGGAAGGUUGAGCACCUUGGGAAACCACGUAAUGAACCAACAUUACACAGCAAUAAGAGG